AGUUGUAAUUUAGAGAAGCGUCUUCCGCGCUGGACCGUGCAUAAGUCUCCUGGAAUGGAGCGUCAUAGAGGGUGAGAAUCCCGUCUUUGGCACGGACCCCCAGGGCUUCUGUGAUGCGCUCUCGAAGAGUCGAGUUGUUUGGGAAUGCAGCUCAAAAUGGGUGGUGAACUCCAUCUAAAGCUAAAUAUUGGCGAGAGACCGAUAGCGAACAAGUACCGUGAGGGAAAGAUGAAAAGCACUUUGGAAAGAGAGUGAAACAGUACGUGAAAUUGUUGAAAGGGAAACGCUUGAAGUCAGUCGCGUCGAUCGAGACUCAGCCUUGCCUUGGCUUGGCGUACUUCUCGGCUUGACGGGUCAGCAUCGAUUUUGACUCUCAGAUAAUGAUGGGGGAAAGGUGGCACCUUCGCAGGUGUGUUAUAGUCCUCCAUCGGAUGUGCGGGUUGGGAUCGAGGAACUCAGCACGCGCCUCUCGGCGUCGGGGCCUUGGCCCACGUUCACGUGCUUAGGAUGCUGGCGUAAUGGCUUUAAACGACCCGUCUUGAAACACGGACCAAGGAGUCUAACAUACCCGCGAGUGUUCGGGUGGAAAACCCGUGCGCGCAAUGAAAGUAAAAGUUGGGACCUCUGUCG
rnacentral:rRNA from 1 species